rnacentral:lncRNA from 1 species
UACACUUUGGAUUAUUUGAUACUUUAAAAGACUUUUCUGGUAACAUAUCCCUAACCUCAUAUUCUUACCUCUUUUAGUAUAAAUCUUUAAAAUCCUUCCAAAUCAUGUUAGAAGAGUCAUCCUUCCUGAGAUGAUUAUUCAAAGGAUUCUGAAGAUCUGAAUAGCUUUGAAGAGCUAUUUGAGCAGCAAUUUGACAGGAAAAGAAGAUUAGUAUGAGAUACCAGUACUCCUAAAAAGAUCCAAAAGAAUCAGAAGGUGGCUUUGUAUUGGAGAGAGGCAUGCAAGCUCACUUCUGGUGAGUCCUACAUUGGUGUGCCCAGUGUGGGUAUUUUUUCAACAUGGCUUUUAAAGUAUUUAGGCAAGGUGUUU